CCUGACCUCGUAAUCCGCCCGUCUCGGCCUCUCAAAGUGCUGGGAUUACAGGCUUGAGCCACUGCGCCCGGCCCGAUACUUCUCUUUUAGGGCUGUGUCUCCUCCUCCUCUGUGGGUUAGGACCAGACCCCUAACACCCUCCCUCCCCUAACAUCCCAUCCAAUCCCACAGCCAUGAGUUUGGUGUUAUAAGCUGCCGGUUCCCACAUUCCUCUCUCCAACCUACAUCUCCCUCCUGAGUCACUUGUCACUUUGAUGUCCCUGUGAUGCAACAGGUCCCAACCCAAGCUCGUUAUCUUACUCCAACCUGCUCCUCCUGCGUUCCUCCCUUCAGGCAUGCCAUCACCGCCCUCUCGGCCAGCUCCUCCUCCCUCUGCAGUAUCUAAUCCACAUCCUGUCCCCAGGGCUCCACCUCUAAACACUUCUUUAGCCAGUUCCCUGCUCUUGUAUUCACAGCUCCCACCUCCACCUCCUCACUGGUCUUUCUGCUCCCCUUGCUCUUCUCCACACUCGCCAUUCCCUCAUGCCAUCCUCCUCCACGAUUUCUCUUAAGUGGAGCAAAGGAAAAAAGAGGGCUCUGGAUUUGAACCCCAGCUCCAGUCCUUCCCCCCGGUAGGAGCAUGGCCAGGCACCUAACAGUGGUUGCUGAUUUAACGUGUCUUCCAGAGGACAGCAUGUCUCACACUGGGCAAAAAUAAAGCACAUGAGGUCCCUGCCCUCAAGGAGCCCCAGUCUGCAGCAGGAGACAGAGACAGAAGCAAGCAGGCUGAUGCCUGUGCUACGUGUGGGUGGGGGUUCGUCAGUCCAGAGCACUGCAGAGCCCAGGAGAGGGGUCUAGGGGAGGCGCCAGGAAGCCUGAGUGGUUCAUCUCUUACAGCCUCAGUCUCCUUAUCUGAAAAGUGAGGACAAUAACAUUUAUCUUGAGGGGUGGGGAUGAGCCACCUGACAUCUUCGUUUCAGAUUUCCAACGGGGCCUAGAGCCUGCACAGAUGCUCAAAGCGUGCUUUUUGAAUACAUGAAAAUGAUGUUACCCCUCCAAAGCAGAACAGGGCAGAAGAUGUAGGUCCUGGGUCAUUCUGGGAAUAUUACUAUGUGGCCGUACACAGGUUACAUCCUGACAAGGUAUCUGUCCUCCCGGAGACUCCUCUGCAGAGGCUGACCCCUACCCCCCAGGUGGGCAGGGGCUGGUGCCAAUGCCUCCAAGGAAGUGGGGGAGGUGGGCGUGGCCGUGGAGUCUGUCCCAGCAUUCCCCUGGGCUGUGACUUCACUGGUCUGAAAGUGCUUGCAGAGGUGUGCUGAGACAGCGGGGGCCAGGCUGGGGGCAGGGUGGAGGUUCUCAGGGGAAAAGCGAGUGGGAGAACGUAGGGGUGGUGGGGUGUGGGGGGACAAUGGGUAACUCACGAGAAGCCUGGACGUGCUGGAUCCCAUCCGAGAAGGCAGGGCUGAGCAGGUGGGGCACUCUAGCUCGGUUUCCGGGGAGACACUUCACCUGCCUAACCUGCACUCAGAGCCAAGAUUGACACAAACACUUUCUCACCCAUCUUCUUAUGCAAGGAACGUCUUGCUUGUGGCAGCUUGGCUGCUGUGGGCUGGGAGUCUCAGAAGCCCUCCUAAACAGCUGCCCAUCUAAUUUUGGCUGGAGGUGAGUUUCCAUCUCUCUCUGGCCCUGCCAUAGCCAGCCCCAACUUUGUUCCUGAUUGCCUUGGAAGAACUGCCUUUGAAAUUUGACAUCUGUACCCAGACAGUCACAAGCACCUCUUCGGCAAAGCCCACCUCCCUCUCUCGCUUGAUUCCCCGGCCAUCCUUAUCAAAGACCUUCCAGGUGAACAGGCAGCCAUCCUCAGCAGCAGUCAGCAGGAAUUGAUCAUCAAAGGCAACAAAAUUCCUUAUGGCAGCACCCAAAGGCUUGAAAUUAGCCAUUCCAAGUGUGUCCAAAAAACUAAAGGAAACCAUGACUAAAGAAGUAAAGAUAGAAAUGAUAUGCAUCAAAUAGAGAAUAAUAAAAGGAUCCCAUCAAUAUAGGGAUAGACUGUAAGAAAAUAGAAAUUCUAGAGUUAAAAAGUACAAUAACUGAAGUGAAAAAUCCACUAGAGGCGCUCAAUAAUAGAUCUGAACUGGCAGAAGAAUCAGUGAACUUUAUAAAUCAAUAAAGAUUAAGCAAUUUGAAGAACAGAGAGGAAAAAGAAUUACAAAUUUACAGAGCCUCAGAAAAAUGUGGGACACCAUUAAGCACACCAACUAAUGCAUAAGGUGAAUGCUAGAAGGAGAGGAGAAAGAGAAAGGAGCAGAAAAAAACAUUUUCAUAAAUAAUUGCUGAAAAUAUUACAAAUUUAUUGGGAAACAUCAAUGUACACAUAUAGGAAGCUCCAUGAACUCCAAGUAAGAAAAACACAAAGAGAUCCACAAACAGACACAUUUUGGUAAAAAUAAUGAAAGCUGAAGACGAGAAGAAAAUUUUGAAAGCAUCGAUAGAAAAAUGACUGAUCACUUACAAAAGGGUCCCAAUAAGAUUAAUAGCAGAUAUCUCAGCAACAACAAUGGAAGCCAGAAGAGAAUGGGAUAACAUGUUCAAAGUGCUUAAAGAAAAAGCUGUCAAACAAAAACUCAGCAAAGCUAUCUUUUAGAACUGAAGGUGAAAUAAAAACAUUGCCAACAAAAACUGAAAAAAUAUGUUGCUAGCAGAUUUGACUUACAUGAAAUACUAAAGGAAAUCCUUCAGGUUGACAGCAAGUUACUCCAGAUAGUAAUUCAAAUCCACACAAAACAAAGAGCACUGGUUAAGCCAGUAGACAAGAUUUGACUCUGGAGGUGAUGUCUGAGCCAACAGGUAUUUGGAGUCUGGAGAAAAAGCCAUGCUAAUAAAUUUCUGAACUUGGAAGUCAAA